GACGAACGCUGGCGGCGUGCUUAACACAUACAAGUCGAGCGGAAAGGCCCUUCGGGGUACUCGAGCGGCGAACGGGUGAGUGACACGUGAGUAAUCUGCCCUUCACUCUGGGAUAGCCACCGGAAACGGUGAUUAAUACCGGAUACGACCAAUCCCUGCAUGGGGUGUUGGUGGAAACUUUUUUGGGUGGGGGAUGUGCUCGCGGCCUAUCAGCUUGUUGGUGGGGUAAUGGCCUACCAAGGCUUCGACGGGUAGCCGGCCUGAGAGGGUGACCGGCCACACUGGGACUGAGACACGGCCCAGACUCCUACGGGAGGCAGCAGUGGGGAAUAUUGGACAAUGGGCGGAAGCCUGAUCCAGCAACGCCGCGUGAGGGAUGACGGCCUUCGGGUUGUAAACCUCUUUCAGCACCGACGAAGCGCAAGUGACGGUAGGUGCAGAAGAAGGACCGGCCAACUACGUGCCAGCCGCCGCCGUAAGAC
rnacentral:rRNA from 1 species